rnacentral:ncRNA from 1 species
CGGUCUCCGGAACACCGGCCGGAAGUAAGCUGCUAACAAAGCUGCGAGCUGAUGAACAAGAACAUCAUAUGAGGCGUAGGGCGGAGGCGAGUUGGCACAAAACGACGAAGCCGCGUGAUCUGACGGCCGCCGUAAAUGAUGCAGUUGUGCUUUUAAAUUUCAUGUU